rnacentral:lncRNA from 1 species
UUUCCUUAUUUGAAACCAAAAAAAGUGUUCAACAUUUACCUAAGUUUCUUUUUAGUUUUCAUAUGUAAUUAUUCGGAGAUUUUUUUCAACUAGAUCCUGAGAUACAGUAAUUCUGUAUGUAACCGAUAAGAGAAGAACAUAAUAUUUAUGUUUAUAUGAUGUUUUACUCUAGGAAAAAAUAGGCGGAAACCAAAAAUGUGCGUUUUCAGCAGGAAUCAAUUGUUCAAAUGUAGCUAGUUCUCUGACAGUUACUUGAGAAACUCUGAAUGUUACAUUUAUUGUUCAGCUUAUUUACCACCAUAUCUAAGGCCCUAUAGUCGGAUUAACCAAAAUCAGUUUUUGCUAUUAUAUGAACUUCUUCAUCUGCCCUUCCUUUUCCUGAUGCAUUUUUGUUUAGUUUUACCCAGUAAAUCCUACUUCCUUGCCCAGGCUGGCAUGUUUUCACACUUAACACUGUAUGCCCUGUUACCCUUAUCAAAAUUCCUAUCCUGUUAUUGGGCAUUAGGGGGAACUUAGCUUUGGUUAAAAGUAAGUACUGUGUUACUGGAAGCUCUACCUUCAUCUACUAAUGUGCAGUUCUAAAAUGAUUAACAGAUAAUGCAAUGAGAUUCAGAAUUAGAUGGUGAGAAAUGUGAAGAUCCUCAAGCAUAAAAAAGUUUUGAAAAAUUUAAGAUGUUUUUCCCCUUAGAUCCUGUAAAUGGGUUUAAUGUUGACUAACUGUUAAGGCCCACUACCCACUCUAGCUUUACCUCAUAUUAUUUUUUCUCAGGGGAAAAUAAAAAGCCUUUCGCUCUUCUCCCUGUGCCAAAGUCUGUCCAACCCUUUAAACAUUGUAAGGCAUAACAUAAGUUACUGUAGAAGUGGGCACAAGGACAGUAUAUAGAGAAAACUGGGUUUCUCUCAACUUCAUGUCAUUUGAUAAGGGUUCAGUAAUUUUCUUGUGACAUUUGACUGGCAUUUAAUAUUGGAGAAGGACAGACUUUCAUUUCCAUUUUACAUUUAAUACUGUUGUUUACAGAGAAGUUUGUAAUAAUAAAUAUAUAAUGCAAAUUAGGCUAGUACGUUUUUUGUCCAGAGGUUUUACACAAAUGCUGUCUUCUAAGUGAAAUAUGUUUUAAAACAAGUAGAUGGAAUAAAAAUUAACCACUAAGUCAUAUACUGAAAUAAAGUAACUUGUGUUGUUUUGCUUCAUACAAAAUAUUAUAUAGCUGUUUUUUAACACUCACUGGAAAUGACUAGAAAUGUCAUCUGAAGAAUACAAUAUCUCUUCUUCUAAUUUUUGUAAUGAGCUUAUCAUUUAUUUGGUCAUUUAUUCAGCAAAAUAUUUUGAUAUUCCACUGUGCCUGCAAGAUGAAUAUGACAAAAUUCAUCCACUGGAAGAGCUCUCAGCUUGAUGGCAGAAGAUAAAUACAUAAAUGAAUAAUCAUAAAAUAAAAUGAUACACAGACUCAUAGACUCAGAAGGAAAUACAAGAGAAAGAUUCUCAGUAGUGAUGACACUUUGAAGAAUUAGUAGACACUAAGGGGAAAAGACACUUUCCUAAAGUGGAGAAACAUAAACAAGCACACUUAUCAAACCUCUCAAACAUUCUGCUGUUCUUUUAAGAUGAACGGCCUAAUAUAAAAGUGCAGGUGAGAGGCGACUUGGAGGAAUGGAAACUCACAUCAACACUGGAAACUGAAGGAAAUAGCAAUCUCCCAGAAAUUUUGUCUAAUUUUUCCAUGAUACAGUGUGGGAAGAAAUCUCUCAGAGUGGACUACAAGACAGCGGGAUAUAUCUACAUACAGACAAUUGCAGAGGACAAAAAAUACUCAACUCAGAUGCUCCAGCUGUAGGGAUGAUAAAGUUGUGUUGUCUACCAACUUCUCCCUAUGCCAUUGGGUAGCUAAAGACAUUGUUAAAGAAAAGACAAAAAAGGGACUUACAACUAUUUCAUUUUUAAGCAUUUCUCAUUGUGUAAUGGAAAGCCUGUGUAUAAUAGACAUUGUGUAAUGAAAAGCCUGGUGUAUAAUAGAUGAUAAUAGACUAAUAAAUGUGUACUGUUAAUCUCCC